AGUGAACGCUGGCGGUAGGCCUAACACAUGCAAGUCGAACGGCAGCACAGUAAGGGCUUGCUCUUACGGGUGGCGAGUGGCGGACGGGUGAGGAAUACAUCGGAAUCUACUUUUUCGUGGGGGAUAACGUAGGGAAACUUACGCUAAUACCGCAUACGACCUACGGUUGAAAGCAGGGGAUCUUCGGACCUUUCGCGAUUGAAUGAGCCGAUGUCGGAUUAGCUAGUUGGCUGGGUAAAGGCCCACCAAGGCGACGAUCCGUAGCUGGUCUGAGAGGAUGAUCAGCCACACUGGAACUGAGACACGGUCCAGACUCCUACGGGAGGCAGCAGUGGGGAAUAUUGGACAAUGGGCGCAAGCCUGAUACAGCCAUACCGCGUGGGUGAAGAAGGCCUUCGGGUUGUAAAGCCCUUUUGUUGGGAAAGAAAAGCAGCAGGUUAAUACCCCGCUGUUCUGACGGUAACCAAAGAAUAAGCACCGGCUAACUUCGUG
rnacentral:rRNA from 1 species